CGCGCAGAGUCGGGACCCGUACCGGCAGAAGGGCUCGGUGACACCGGGGCUCCGAUGGAUGACGAGCCGGCGGAGGGCGCUGCGCCGCCGGCUGAGACCGAAGUAGAGGUGAGUGAAGGCGGACAGGUAGGCGCUCAGAAGAGCGAUCGGAGCGCUAUCGGUAUUACUACAGAGGAAACGGAGGGGGUGGAGGAAGUUAAGGAGAGAGUGGGAGUAAGAAACGGGGAAGAGAGAUCGAAAAGACGGGUGCAUAAUCGUUGAAGUGGAAGAGGAGAGAGGUGUGGAAGAGGGAAUAGGUGCCAAGGGCAGGGAGGAGGGUAUUAAAGGAGCAGAAGGCAGGCUGGGUGAAGAUGAAGAUGAGAAUGGAGAACAGGAGUGGAGCAAAGUAUUAGAGCAAAGGGGACCAGUGAGGAGGGGAACGAAGAAUCUCAGAAGAUGACUGGGCGGUUGGAAAAAGAAGGAGCGGAGGAAAGGAGAGGGUGAUGGAGAAAAGGCUAAGGAAAGGAAAGGAGAAGAGAAGAGAAAGCAGUAGCAGCAGGAAUUGAGCACUGUAGCGGAGCAGGCGACGAAGGCUGCAGUGCAGGCGCUCCAGUUCAUGUCCAGGUGGGUGAAGGGGCUCUGACCGAGAAAGAGGAGGAGAUGAUGGAGUGCGACAGCGACUCUGACAAUCCCUCCGACUCGGGCUCCAUGACUGUCGAUGGCAACGUGUACUCGCUAGAGGAGAUGAACAGAUUCCUAGACGUUAAAUUUAUCAGGACUGCUGUGUUGCUACAAAAAGUUUGUGAUACCAACCUCCUAGAUAAGAAGAAAUGCUUCAGACUGAAGAAGCAUGUGACCGCUCUCAGAAAGUUGAUCUAUGGAGAUGGAGGGAAAUGUUCCAAGAGGCUGAGGAUCAGGCUUUAGUGGUCUGGGCAUCUAUAGCUGGCAUCAUCUUUGUGUUUGUCAACGUAUAUGCUCCGAAUCAGGGCCCUCUUAGGACGGACCUUUUCCUCAAGUUGAAGGAUGUCCUGCGGCAGUACAACCAAGAUGAGUGUAUAGUGAUGGCGGGGGG
ensembl:lncRNA